rnacentral:rRNA from 1 species
GACGAACGCUGGCGGCGUGCUUAACACAUGCAAGUCGAACGGAAAGGCCCUGCUUUUGUGGGGUGCUCGAGUGGCGCACGGGUGAGUAACACGUGAGUAACCUGCCCUUGACUUUGGGAUAACUUCAGGAAACUGGGGCUAAUACCGGAUAGGAGCUCCUGCUGCAUGGUGGGGGUUGGAAAGUUUCGGCGGUUGGGGAUGGACUCGCGGCUUAUCAGCUUGUUGGUGGGGUAGUGGCUUACCAAGGCUUUGACGGGUAGCCGGCCUGAGAGGGUGACCGGCCACAUUGGGACUGAGAUACGGCCCAGACUCCUACGGGAGGCAGCAGUGGGGAAUAGUGCACAAUGGGCGGAAGCCUGAUGCAGCAACGCCGCGUGCGGGAUGACGGCCUUCGGGUUGUAAACCGCUUUCGCCUGUGACGAAGCGUGAGUGACGGUAAUGGGUAAAGAAGCACCGGCUAACUACGUG